GCAGCAGAUAAUUCAGAGCAUCCAGCAGUUGGUAAAAGAAAUCGGUGUUGCCAAGAGGACACCCCAGAAGAUAUUUACUCCUUCUGCAGAGAUUGUGAAAUACACGCAUACAAUCGCCAUGGAGAAACUCUAUGCAGUUUUUACAGAUUAUGAACAUGAUAAAGUUUCCAGGGAUGAAGCUGUUAACAAGAUAAGAUUAGAUACAGAGGAACAUCUAAAGGAAAAAUUUCCAGAGGUUGACCAACUUGAAAUAAUAGAAUCCUUCAACGUUGUUGCAAAGGAGGUUUUCAGAAGUAUUAUUUUGAAUGAAUACAAAAGGUGUGAUGGACGAGAUCUGACUUCACUUAGGAAUAUAAGUUGCGAGGUAGAUAUGUUUAAAACACUUCAUGGAUCAGCAUUAUUUCAGAGAGGACAAACACAGGUACUCUGUACUGUUACAUUUGAUUCAUUAGAAUCCAGUAUUAAAUCAGAUCAAAUUAUAACAGCUAUAAAUGGGGUAAAAGAUAAAAAUUUCAUGUUGCACUAUGAGUUUCCUCCUUAUGCAACCAAUGAAACUGGCAAAGUUACUGGUGUAAAUAGAAGAGAACUUGGACAUGGUGCUCUUGCUGAGAAAGCUUUGUGUCCUGUUAUUCCCAAAGAUUUUCCUUUUACCAUAAGAGUUACAUCUGAAGUUCUCGAGUCAAACGGGUCAUCUUCUAUGGCAUCUGCAUGUGGUGGAAGUUUGGCAUUAAUGGAUGCAGGGGUCCCAAUUUCAUCUGCUGUUGCAGGUGUAGCAGUGGGAUUGGUUACCAAAAGCAAUCCAGAGAAAGGUGAAAUAGAAGACUAUCGUUUGCUAACAGAUAUUCUGGGAAUUGAAGAUUACAAUGGUGACAUGGAUUUCAAAAUAGCUGGUACAAAUAAAGGAAUAACUGCAUUACAGGCUGAUAUUAAGUUACCUGGAGUACCAGUUAAAAUUAUAAUGGAAGCCAUCCAACAAGCAACAGUGGCAAAGAGGGAAAUAUUGCAGACAAUGAGCAAAACGAUUUCAAAACCUCGAGCAUCUAGGAAAGAAAAUGGACCAGUUGUAGAAACAGUAAAGGUUCCAUUAUCAAAACGAGCAAAAUUCAUUGGGCCUGGUGGAUAUCACUUAAAAAAACUCCAGGCUGAGACAGGUGUAACAAUUAGUCAGGUUGAUGAAGAAACAUUCUCCAUAUUUGCACCAACACCUACUGCAAUGCAUGAGGCAAGAGACUUCAUUACAGAAAUUUGCAGAGAUGAUCAAGAGCAACAAUUGGAAUUUGGAGCAGUUUAUACCGCUACAAUAACUGAAAUCAGAGACACAGGAGUAAUGGUAAAACUGUAUCCAAACAUGACUGCAGUGCUACUUCAUAAUUCACAACUUGACCAACGAAAGAUUAAACAUCCCACUGCCCUGGGAUUAGAAGUUGGCCAGGAAAUUCAGGUCAAAUACUUUGGCCGUGAUCCAGCUGAUGGAAGAAUGAGGCUUUCCCGUAAAGUACUUCAGUCUCCAGCUACAACUGUUCUCAAAACUCUAAAUGAUAGGAGCAGCAUUGUAAUGGGAGAGCCUAUUUCACAGUCAUCAUCUAACUCUUCCCCUUGACUCCUUUUUAAAAUGGUAUUCAAUGGUGAGAUUCUGCAGAGCAAAAUUUAAUAGUCCCAUUUAUUGUGUAGAUUUAUAUAUAAUUUAAAUAUAAUUAUUUGUAUUAAAAUGCUUAUUUCAUGUGCCUUUUUUAUUUCAGGAGUAGCCUAUAUUUGCUUAUUCUUAUUUGGGUUAUAAAUCAAUAAAUAUUUAUUAAAAGCU
rnacentral:lncRNA from 1 species